UAGGGAAUCUUCCGCAAUGGACGCAAGUCUGACGGAGCAACGCCGCGUGAGUGAAGAAGGAUUUCGGUUCGUAAAACUCUGUUGUUAGAGAAGAACAGCGCAUAGAGGAACUGUUAUGCGUGUGACGGUAUCUAACCAGAAAGCCACGGCUAACUACGUGCCAGCAGCCGCGGUAAUACGUAGGGGGCUAGCGUUGUCCGGAAUCACUGGGCGUAAAGGGUUCGCAGGCGGAAAUGCAAGUCAGGUGUAAAAGGCAGUAGCUUAACUACUGUAAGCAUUUGAAACUGCAUAUCUUGAGAAGAGUAGAGGUAAGUGGAAUUUUUAGUGUAGCGGUGAAAUGCGUAGAUAUUAAAAAGAAUACCGGUGGCGAAGGCGACUUACUGGGCUCAUUCUGACGCUGAGGAACGAAAGCGUGGGUAGCAAACAGG
rnacentral:rRNA from 1 species